rnacentral:rRNA from 1 species
UGAAGAGGUUUGGAAAGACCCACCACAGAAGGUAAUAGUCCUGUAUGUUAAACGAGAAGACUUUAGAUAUGAUCCAGAGUACCACGGGACACGUGAAACCCUGUGGGAAGCAGGAGGGACCACCCUCAAAGGCUAAAUACUACCUAGUGACCGAUAGCGUAUAGUACCGUGAGGGAAAGGGGAAAAGAACCCCGGGAGGGGAGUGAAAUAGAACCUGAAACCCUGCACUUACAAGCUGUGGAAGCACAUUUCUUGUGUGACCGCGUACUUUUUGUAGAACGGGCCAACGAGUUACGUUAAGUAGCAAGGUUAAGCACUUAAGGUGCGGAGCCGUAGCGAAAGCGAGUUUUAACUGAGCGUUCAGUUACUUGACGUAGACCCGAAACCGGGCGACCUACCCAUGAGCAGGAUG